ACUGAUAUAUAUCAUCCUUAUAAGUUAUAAUGUUAAAUAACAAAUCUUAAAUUUCAAACAAAUUAAA